ACGCUCGACACCUACGGGAUGCAGCAGUAGGGAAUCUUCCACAAUGGACGCAAGUCUGAUGGAGCAACGCCGCGUGAGUGAAGAAGGUUUUCAGAUCGUAAAGCUCUGUUGUUGGUGAAGAAGGAUAGAGGUAGUAACUGGCCUUUAUUUGACGGUAAUCAACCAGAAAGUCACGGCUAACUACGUGCCCGCAGCCGCGGUAAUCUGAGCGGGCUGGCAAGGC
rnacentral:rRNA from 1 species